UGAUGUCCCAUGUCGCAAUUC
rnacentral:piRNA from 1 species